UUUAACUCAAAUUAUAUGAAUAUUGUUUUACACUUCUCAACAAGACUGGCAAUCAACUCGCUCUAUUCUGAUGGCUUAUAUCCUCAUUUUUAACCCUGUAGGAAGGAGAAGGGCCGAUUACAGCGAAGGGAUCGAUGUCGCAGAAGUCUGAAAAAUUGGCUUUGCAACCUAUCUGACAUGCUUCAUUUGACGAGAUGGAUAUACAAGUCGAGAGUUGUUAUAAAGUUGAGGAAUCUCUUUACUUGGUGGUCAUUCAUAGCCAAGCCAAAUACAAAUACAAGUUGAAUUAAUUGCAGCGUGUGAUAGCAGUAGCACAUUCACGUAAUGUGCCACCAUCUUUGCAAUGCAAAGCACUUCUUUCAGCCAGCUACGGAUAGACGAAAGAUCGCAAUGCAUGCAAGUCCUUCCUCAUCAUGUGAACAAUAGUUAAUUAAUCUACAGUCAGUUUUUCAAGACAGUACCUACCACCGAGGAUUGGCCAAUUGAUCUGUUUCACUAUGUUCCUUUUUUGCAGAAAUUCACAUUUGAAUAUCUUCCUUUUACAUUUUUUGGUGAACUCGGUGAUGUAGUUGGUGUCUGGAAUUCAAUUGAAAUACCUUCCUUUAUUCAUGAUUUAUUGCUUUCAAUGCCGUCAAUAUCUUCAAUUCUGCCUCUUGUUACCAACCAAGAAGGAGAAAAGUUCGGAAAAUCUGCUGGCGAUGGUAUUUGGCUGGACGAAGAAAAAACGUCGCCUUUUUCUCUUCAUCAGUUCUUUUUGAAAAUGCCACAUUCUGAAGUCGAGAAUCUUCUCAAGUUGUUCACGUUGUUUAUAUCAUGUUUAUAUAUUUUUUUAAAUACAAUUAAAUUAAUUCAAAUAUAUUUUUUAAAUUCCAUUCGGCA